rnacentral:rRNA from 1 species
UACCUGGUUGAUCCUGCCAGUAGUCAUAUGCUUGUCUCAAAGAUUAAGCCAUGCAUGUCUAAGUAUGAACUAAUUCAGACUGUGAAACUGCGGAUGGCUCAUUAAAUCAGUUAUAGUUUUUUUUUAUGGUACCAUACUACUCGGAUAACCGUAGUAAUUCUAGAGCUAAUAUGUGCACCAAGUCCCGACUCUUUGGGGAUGCAUUUUUUAUAUAAAAGGCCGGCGCGGGCUUGCCCGCUUCUCCGGUGAAUCAUGAUAACUCGACUGGGUUCAUCGAGUCUGGUAAUUAGAAUGAGUACAAUCUAAAUCCCUUAACGAGGAUCCAUUAGAGGGCAAGUCUGGUGCCAGCAGCCGAGGUAAUUCCAGCUCCAAUAGCGUAUAUUUAAGUUGCUGCAGUUAAAAAGCUCGUAGUUGGAUCUUGGGUCGUAAAGGUCGGUCCGCCUACUCGGUGUGCACCUGCCCUUCCAUCCCUUUUAUCGGCGGCGUGCUCCUGACCUUAAUUGGCUCGGUCACGGCUCCGGCGCUAUUACUUUGAAAAAAUUAGAGUGCUCAAAGCAAGCUUAUGCUCUGAAUACAUUAGCAUGGAAUAACGUGAUAGGAGUCUGGUCCUAUUGUGUUGGCCUUCAGGACUGGAGUAAUGAUUAAUAGGGACUGACAGGGGCAUUCGUAUUUCAUUGUCAGAGGUGAAAUUCUUGGAUUUAUGAAAGACAGACCACUGCGAAAGCAUUUGCCAAGGAUGUUUUCAAUAAUAAAGAACGAAAGUUGGGGGCUCGAAGACGAUCAGAUACCGUCCUAGUCUCAACCAUAAACGAUGCCGACCAGGGAUCGGCGGAUGUUGCUCUAAGGACUCCGCCAGCACCUUCUGAGAAAUCAGAGUGUUUGGGUUCCCGGGGGAGUAUGGUCGCAAGGCUGAAACUUAAAGGAAUUGACGGAAGGGCACCACCAGGAGUGGAGCCUGCGGCUUAAUUUGACUCAACACGGGGAAACUUACCAAGUCCAGACAUAGUAAGGGUUGACAGAUUGAGAGCUCUUUCUUGAUUCUAUGGGUGGUGGUGCAUGGUCGUUCUUAGUUGGUGGAGCGAUUUGUUUGGUUAAUUCCGAUAACGAACGAGACCUCAGCCUGCUAAAUAGCUACAUGGAGGUUCCCCUUCGCGGCUAGCUUCUUAGAGGGACUAUGGCCGUUUAGGCCAUGGAAGUUUGAGGUAAUAACAGGUCUGUGAUGCCCUUAGAUGUUCUGGGCCGCACACGUGCUACACUGAUGCAGCAAACGAGCUUUUCUUCCUGGUUCGAGAGGAUCGGGAAAUCUUCUCAAAUUGCAUCGUGAUGGGGAUAGACCGUUGCAAUUAUUGGUCUUCAACGAGGAAUUCCUAGUAAGCGCGUGUCAUCAACUCGUGUUGACUACGUCCCUGCCCUUUGUACACACCGCCCGUCGCUCCUACCGAUUGAAUGAUCCGGUGAGGUGUUCGGAUUGCAUCGACAAUGGUGGUUCGCCGCCAUCGACGUCGUGAGAAGUUCAUUGAACCUUAUCAUUUAGAGGAAGGAGAAGUCGUAACAAGGUUACCGUAGGUGAACUUGCGGUAG